GCUGGGUGUGGUGGUGCACUUCUGUAAUCUCACCAUCUUGGGAGGCUGAGACAGGAAGAUUAUGAGUUAAAGCCAGCCUCAGCAAAAGUGAGGCACUGAGCAACUCAGUGAGACCCUGUCUCUA
rnacentral:sRNA from 1 species